CCUACGGGAGGCAGCAGAGGGGGAUAUUGCACAAUGGGGGAAACCCUGAUGCAGCGACGCCGCGUGGGUGAAGAAGCGCCUCGGCGCGUAAAGCCCUGUCAGCAGGGAAGCAAAUGACGGUACCUGAAGAAGAAGCCCCGGCUAACUACGUGCCAGCAGCCGCGGUAAUACGUAGGGGGCAAGCGUUAUCCGGCUUUACUGGGUGUAAAGGGGGCGCAGACGGCGACGCAAGCCAGGAGUGAAAGCCCGGGGCCCAACCCCGGGACUGCUCUUGGAACUGCGUGGCUAGAGUGCAGGAGGGGCAGGCGGAAUUCCUGGUGUAGCGGUGAAAUGCGUAGAUAUCAGGAGGAACACCGGUGGCGAAGGCGGCCUGCUGGACUGCAACUGACGUUGAGGCCCGAAAGCGUGGGGAGCAAACAGGAUUAGAUACCCUAGUAGUC
rnacentral:rRNA from 1 species